AUGGCAGUGGUAGCACCAGCACGACCCUCAGCGGGAAGGCAAAAAAAAGCUUUCAAUGAUUACUCUGAUUUGGCUAGAGCCGCACAUCCUGAUGAUUGGGAGCAGCGAGAGUUGGAUGGGCAAAUAUUAUAUGAAUCAUUAGGUGGCAUUCCCCAUGGGCGACUAGCAAUAGCAGGUGAGGCAAUCAAGAAGGCUGAUGUUAUCUCAACGGCUAGAGAAAAGAAAUUGAGGCUGUCAACUUCAGCAGCACAUCAACGAACUGUUCAAGAAAAUGAAGAGCUGAAGCGACAUAAUGAGAACCUGCAGCGACAUAAUGAGAACCUGCAACAUAAAGUUGAUAUGCAUGAACGAAUCCUAGUGGCCCUUUUUAAGGAGAUGGGAAAAGAACUACCAGCGGAGCUACGCCAAGGAGCGAGUUCCCAACCACAUGGGACACCUAAUUCAUCUCAUAUGAAACCCCAAGCCGCCGAUGACAACACUGGUGAUGAUGAUUUGGGUACAAAUGGUGGUGCUGACAACUCCAGUGGGAAUACCAGUGACCAGGCCAUCGACGCAACUAACCUUUGCACAACUAACGUUGGCAGUGCCUUUUGUUGA
rnacentral:rRNA from 1 species